UAGGGAAUCUUCGGCAAUGGGGGGAACCCUGACCGAGCAACGCCGCGUGAGUGAAGAAGGUUUUCGGAUCGUAAAGCUCUGUUGUUAAGGAAGAACGAGUGUGAGAAUGGAAAGUUCAUACUGUGACGGUACUUAACCAGAAAGGGACGGCUAACUACGUGCCAGCAGCCGCGGUAAUACGUAGGUCCCGAGCGUUGUCCGGAUUUAUUGGGCGUAAAGCGAGCGCAGGCGGUUAGAUAAGUCUGAAGUUAAAGGCAGUGGCUCAACCAUUGUAGGCUUUGGAAACUGUUUAACUUGAGUGCAGAAGGGGAGAGUGGAAUUCCAUGUGUAGCGGUGAAAUGCGUAGAUAUAUGGAGGAACACCGGUGGCGAAGGCGACUCUCUGGUCUGUAACUGACGCUGAGGUUCGAAAGCGUGGGUAGCAAACAGG
rnacentral:rRNA from 1 species